AGUGAACGCUGGCGGCAGGCCUAACACAUGCAAGUCGAACGGUAACAGGAAGAAGCUUGCUUCUUUGCUGACGAGUGGCGGGCGGGUGAGUAAUGUCUGGGAAACUGCCUGAUGGAGGGGGAUAACUACUGGAAACGGUAGCUAAUACCGCAUAACGUCGCAAGACCAAAGAGGGGGACCUUCGGGCCUCUUGCCAUCGGAUGUGCCCAGAUGGGAUUAGCUAGUAGGUGGGGUAACGGCUCACCUAGGCGACGAUCCCUAGCUGGUCUGAGAGGAUGACCAGCCACACUGGAACUGAGACACGGUCCAGACUCCUACGGGAGGCAGCAGUGGGGAAUAUUGCACAAUGGGCGCAAGCCUGAUGCAGCCAUGCCGCGUGUAUGAAGAAGGCCUUCGGGUUGUAAAGUACUUUCAGCGGGGAGGAAGGGAGUAAAGUUAAUACCUUGGCUCAUUGACGUUACCCGCAGAAGAAGCACCGGCUAACUCCGUG
rnacentral:rRNA from 1 species